ACGAGACCUAUUAAGAAUAGAAUUUCUUGUAGGUUUUGUGACCAGGGGGAUUAGCGCUGCUUUUCCAAGACAGGUUUUUAUGUGUAUGAUCUUCAGGCUUUGCCUAUCCAGGUUGGCUGGCCGGUGCUGACGGGACGGAGCUGAGGCUAGCGAUAAAUUCCUAUGUUAGACUUCCGCUGUAGCAAUUACUCAUAUCAGUCUUUUGUUUUCCCAACUCAAGAUCUUCAUGUUAAAUUACAAAUGAUAUAUCUGACCGAGCUUAGACUCUGCACUACUAAAUUUAUGCUAAUGAAUGUCGGUUGUCAGAAGCAUGAAACAAAACUUGUGAUCCAAAGGGGCCUAGCCCGACUCGUUAUCUUAUUAUUCGGGUUUUAACAAGGUUGUUCCUUGUUUAUUUCUAUGAAUUAUUCACACCUCGAUUAUAUUUA